GAUGUUCAAGUGCUCGAAAGAGAACGGUAACACAGGUGCUGCAUGGCUGUCGUCAGCUCGUGUCGUGAGAUGUUGGGUUAAGUCCCGCAACGAGCGCAACCUUUGCCAUUAAUUGCCAUCAUUUAGUUGGGCACUUUAAUGGGAUUCCCGGUGACAAACCGGAGGAAGGUGGGGAUGACGUCAAGUCCUCAUGGCCCUUAUGGCCAGGGCUUCACUCGUAAUACAAUGGUCGGUACAGAGGGUUGCCAACCCGCGAGGGGGAGCCAAUCCCAGAAAGCCGAUCGUAGUCCGGAUUGUAGUCUUCAACUCGACUGCAUGAAGUCGGAAUCGCUAGUAAUCGCGGAUCAGCAUGUCGCGGUGAAUACGUUCCCGGGCCUUGUACACACCGCCCGUCACACCAUGGGAGUGGGUUUUACCAGAAGUAGUUAGUCUAACCGCAAGGGAGACGAUUACCACGGUAGGAUUCAUGCCUGGGGUGAAGUCGUUACAAGGUAACCGU
rnacentral:rRNA from 1 species